UACGUAGGGGGCUAGCGUUGUCCGGAAUCAUUGGGCGUAAAGAGCGUGUAGGCGGUCCGGUAAGUCCGCUGUGAAAGUCGGGGGCUCAACCCUCGAAUGCCGGUGGAUACUGUCGGGCUAGAGUUCGGAAGAGGCGAGUGGAAUUCCCGGUGUAGCGGUGAAAUGCGCAGAUAUCAGGAAGAACACCCGUGGCGAAGGCGGCUCGCUGGGACGGUACUGACGCUGAGACGCGAAAGCGUGGGGAGCAAACAGG
rnacentral:rRNA from 1 species